rnacentral:rRNA from 1 species
GCUGACGAGCGGCGGACGGGUGAGUAAUGCAUAGGAAACUGCCCAGUAGUGGGGGAUAGCCCGGGGAAACCCGGAUUAAUACCGCGUACGCCCUUCGGGGGAAAGCAGGGGAUCUUCGGACCUUGCGCUAUUGGAUGUGCCUAUGUCGGAUUAGCUAGUUGGUGGGGUAAAGGCCUACCAAGGCGACGAUCCGUAGCUGGUCUGAGAGGAUGAUCAGCCACAUCGGGACUGAGACACGGCCCGAACUCCUACGGGAGGCAGCAGUGGGGAAUAUUGGACAAUGGGGGCAACCCUGAUCCAGCCAUGCCGCGUGUGUGAAGAAGGCUUUCGGGUUGUAAAGCACUUUCAGUGAGGAGGAAAACUCUGCGACUAAUACUCGUAGGGCUUGACGUUACUCACAGAAGAAGCACCGGCUAACUCCGUGCCAGCAGCCGCGGUAAUACGGAGGGUGCAAGCGUUAAUCGGAAUUACUGGGCGUAAAGCGCGCGUAGGUGGUUUGAUAAGCGAGAUGUGAAAGCCCCGGGCUUAACCUGGGAACGGCAUUUCGAACUGUCAGGCUAGAGUAUGGUAGAGGGUAGUGGAAUUUCCUGUGUAGCGGUGAAAUGCGUAGAUAUAGGAAGGAACACCAGUGGCGAAGGCGGCUACCUGGACCAAUACUG